UUUGUACUCCCUCCGACCGAUAUUACUUGUCUCAAAUUUGCCCAAAUAUGGAUGUAUCUAUGUUUUAAAAGCGUCUAGAUACAUGUAAUAUUUCGACAAGUAAUUCCGGCCGGAGGGAGUAAUUG
rfam:Brachypodium distachyon strain Bd21 chromosome 2, whole genome shotgun sequence.